UGUAAUGUCAUUGACCGACUUAUCACACGUAGGGUUUCUAAUUGGAUUAUGGUUAUUAUUACUAAAAAUCGGUUUUGGUGUUAAUUUUGUUAACUGAAAAUACAAUUAGUCACCAAAAUGUGGAUAGACGAGGCGGACGGCUUUGCCGAGAUUUUUAAGGGCUAUCUGCCCUACUAUUUGCUUGUGGCUCUGCCUAUUUUUAUCAUAAUGUCUCCUGUUAACCCGGUUGCGGCUUCUCAUGAGUUCUCGGUGUAUAGAAUGCAACAUUACGACUUACACACUGUUCCCCACGGAUGCCGCAGCGCCAGCUUUAACCUGGAAGGUCGUUCCCUAACAUCAUGGAGCACAUCUCGUCACUGCGUCGUCGCCAGGGUACAGGACAUCACCAUUGAUCAGUUCAUGGAGAUCCGCAGCAAAGCGGGAGCCUUGCUGCUGGUGCUGCCUAAGAACGAUACAGUUCUUACGGUUGAAGAGAAAGAGCAUAUCCAACUCCUGGAGAUGGCAAUGAUCCAGCAGGAAGUGAAUGCUCCGGUCUACUUCGCUCGCUGGACUCCAGAGUUUGAGGAUAUCCUCCGAGACCUGCAGCACAGCUUUAUUACUGACGACAAGUCUGGAACGGCUCUGGAAGCUAUGUUGAACACUGUGUCUUCUAAUGGCUAUCAGAUUGUGGUAUCAGCAUCAACUCCUCAGAAACUGGACUCAAAGCCGGUGACUUUGCAUGGAAAGCUGGUGGGUCGGUCCGGAUCAGCUCAGACCAUUGUCAUUGCAGCUCACUAUGAUUCCUCCGCUAUUGUUCCAGAAUUAUCCCAAGGCGCAGACUCAAACGCAUCAGGCGCAGUUGCAGUACUAGAACUGGCUCGAAUCUUCUCCCGUCUCUACUCUACGGCCUCAGUCAGAGGUGCACCGUCGCUACUGUUCGUGCUGACGUCAUUAGGACACUCACUCAAUUACUUCUCCGCUAAGAAGUGGCUUGAAGAACAGUUGGAUUCCACUGACGCGUCGUUGUUACAAGACGUAUCCUUCGUAAUGUGCCUGGACUCCCUCUCCUCAUCCGACAGUAUGACAAUGCAUGUCUCCAAGCCGCCCAAGCCGGGCGGAGCCGCGCAUUCACUCAAGUCAAGACUAGGAGUUAAUAUUAACCAUAAGAAGAUCAACCUAGCUGAUGAACUGUUGGCGUGGCAGCAUGAGAGAUUCAGUAUUAGACGGAUGACUGCUUUCACGUUGAGUUCGCUACAGAGUCACAAGGACCCAUCCCGCAGCACAGUGCUGGACCUUCCCUCAGAGGCCGGCAUCAGGAACUUGGCCGCCAACAUCGCGGCGACUGCGCGGGCACUCGCCUCGCAUGUGUACAACCUUACUGACGAGCUCAACGAUGAGGAUCGAGCCUUGUAUGAUGAUGCACUGGGCGUGGACGAGGCGUCAAUAAGACAUUGGUACAAGUACUUAUCGUCGCAGUCGAGAGCACCACAGAUUAUCACCACUACAGCACCCGGCGCAGGAGUGACAGGCGCAUUAUCACGUGCACUAUCCCGCUACAUGGAGGUGUCGACGUCAGUGCACGCGGUGGACAAGCGCGAGCCCGAGUACGCGCUCUACGGCGCCACACGAGCCGCGCUAUAUGUGUACAGCGUAAAACCAGCAGUAUUCGACCUAAUACUGACACUAGCGAUCGUAGCAUAUUUAACCGUGGUAUACUUCGCGAUCCAACUAUUCCCUCGCUUCUACGAAGAAUACGCGAAGAUAGUCACGGGCAAAUCCAAAGUACACUAGUUUAGUCUAAUGUGGUGUGGUAAGUGUUUUCCUACCUUUAUUUAUAGCUGGGCAAGUGAUGUGUAUAGGUGACAGUCGCUAGAUGUAGUGUUGGUCGUAGUUAGAAAAUAUAACAGGUGUGUUAUCGAUUUGAAAUUGGGAUUUUUUGUAAGAACUAUUGAAACUUAAUACUCAAGAACAGCGCUAAGAUUAAUACAUGACACUUUAAAACAUGUUUUUUGGCUCUAACUCCAAACCGGAACGAGGAAGUUUCAAAACAUAAUCAUCUCCCGAGCCUUUUCCCAACUAUGUUGGGGUCGGCUUCCAGUCUAACCGGAUUCAGCUGAGUACCAGUGCUUUACAAGAAAAGACUGUACACUGCGACUGUGCAGUAGAAUUUCUCUUCUCUCGAAUACUACUGAGUCGGCGGAGACGAGAUAUUAUAAAUAACGAAAUUCUAUUGGUUGUUUUAAAACUUCACAAUUGCCAUGAAAUUGUAAAGUUUGAAAUCGAUAUCACUAAAAGGAUUGGAUCUAUAGAGAAAAAGAAGUUAACAUGUUGAAUUAAUGUUACAAUUUAUGCAUUUAUCUCAAAUUAGUUUCAAAGUACCUGUACACUUCACUAGUGUAGCUAUUAUCCUAAACUUUCAUGAAAAGGUAUGUGACUUUGUAAACGACUUUCUAUGUACUACACUUGUUAUCCUAGUAAUAUUAUAAACGCGAAAGUUUGUAUGUAUGGAUGUAUGGAUGUUUGUUACUCUUUCACGCAAAAACUACUGAAUGGAUUUUAAAGAAACUUUACAAUAAUAUAGCUUAUACAUCAGAAUAACACAUAGGCUACAAUUUGUAAACAUAUUGUUCGAAAUACUAAACCUGCGCAGACGAAGUCGCGGGCACCAGCUAGUUAUCUAUAAAUCACACUCACUGUCUUAUACGCGUUUAUCGCUAGAUUGUUUAUUUUUUAUGAUAUAAGUAUCCUUCAUGGACUGAACGAACCUAUGUUACACAGGUUUUAUUCGAAAAGUAAAUUAAAAUAACUUUACAGAAAUUUUCAAAGCCAAAAUACAAUGAUUUAACGACAAAAUCGUAUUGACACGUUAAACUAAAAAUAUAAUCGAGAAUGCAUUUUAUAAUGUAGGUAGUACAUAGAAGUUAUUUUCUCAAAAGAAAAUCGGCAAUACUCUUGUGUUACCACAUUUCCCGCACCACGGUGAAGUCAAUCCUAGUAAUAAGUGUUGAACAAUUUCAUUUACAUACUAAAGAGUAAGUUUUCACAAAUAAUUUAUGAGAAAAAAAGUAAAAGAAUAAUUUUCAAUAAUAUUGUUUAUUUAUAAAGCAGACUAUAUUGUUAACUGGUGGGAUAAGUAUUGCCAGUGGAAUAAAUUUCUAAAACCGUUUGGCAAAAAAAAACCUUGUCUGUGGGUCAAAUUUUACCAAUCGAACAUUUACCUUCCACUGUUGUGAUAAGGUGGAAAAUCUAUUGAAGAGAUUUGACAGAUUUAGGUAGGUUGAUAUGCUGUCGUUUGUACCUAUUUUCAGUCUACAGUCACGUAAUCUAUGGCGGUUGAUAACAUUUUCGUACUUUUAUAAUUUUCAACGCGGAAACUUGCCACAUGAAAAAAUAAUUUAAUCUACAAUGGCGUCUGUAUUCCACUGGCAACACUUAGACCCGCCAUCUUGAAAAGUGGAAGAAUUCUUUAUUUUUGAAUUACAGCAGUUUACCAAGAAGUCUAUAUCGUACAUAGAAUAAGGUCGAAAGCAAUAUUUCCAAGAUUACAAAUUAAGAAUAAAUAAAUAAAAAUGUGAAAGAUAUAAUUUAUUUAAAAAGAUGCGUGUAUUUAUCUCAGCUAAGUAUUAUUCUGAUUUCGAGAUGUCCAUUAUGCCAAAUUAUUAUAAAAUAAUUUAUUGAUUAUUUUUCUGAUUUUUGUAAAGGCAACGAAGGAUCAGUGAAUUUUUUUUACUUUAUGUAAAAUUGAACUGAUUUAUUUGAAAACUCAUAAUCAUAGAAUGAAUUGGUUCUAUAUUUAAAAUUCAAACGGUUUUCCUCAAGUAGGUUAGCAUAAAAGUUUUUUUUACUGCAAACUUUGUUUUGUUGAAUAAUAGUUUUUAUAAUAUAAAUACAGAUAUGUUUAUAAAUAUACAGUGGUUUUGUUGACCGUCCUGAAAGCUUGAAGUUCCUUGUACAGAUUGCAUUUGUGCUUCUUUAUUCCCGUGCAAAUUAUUUUCUACUGCUUGGUGUCAACUUUUGAUCAAACAAAAUUAGACUUUAUUCUAUAGCUAUUAGGGUUGGUUUUGGCUUCCUCAGACUUUAAGAGAAGAAGGGUGCUUUCGGGGCAUGUUAUACUCUUAUGAUUAGAAAAAUAAUUUUUGAUCUCCCAUCGCAAAAUUAGGGGCAUUUUAUUGCUUCUUAGUUCAAUUAUUAUUUUGUUUUUGGGAAUAAGGACUAAUAAAUAUAUAGAUUUGUCCAUCAUUUAUCAACAAAAGUGGACACCAAGUUUAACCGAAUAUUAUGUGAUAAAAAUACAUACAUAUAUUGUGUUAUUUAUGUAUGGCGAUGUUGUGUUUUCCAUUUAGUUUAAUCAAUUAGAUUAAGGUUUAAUAUGCUUUGGUUUUGGGUAAAUACAAAUUGAUGGUUCUUAAGAACACGGACGGGCAAACUUGUAUGUGAGAUAUUUUGUAAAAAAAAUCGAGCUAUGCUUUUUAUUUUGCAAAUUUUGAAAGUAUGAGGUGCUUGAAAUUUUCUGAAAGGAUUGUUUUUGCAAAUGAGUCAGUCAUACAGCAUUUUAAUGUUAGAAUUUAAUUUUGAAAUGAAUGAAGAUUUGUGUGUCUGGAAGUCCACCUGGGAAAAGGCUAGGCGGAUAGUGAAUCAUGAAAGUAAUCAAAGUUUGCCCGAUCUGUGUCCUGAUUCAAUUUAAGUGGAAAGUUUCGAACAAAAUGUCAAACGAUUUGUGUUUGUAAGCAAAAAUGAUGGACGCUGCAUGGAAUUGAAUAAAAUUUUGUUUUAAAA